rnacentral:rRNA from 1 species
CAGUCGCCGCGGUAAUACAGAGGGUGCAAGCGUUAAUCGGAAUUACUGGGCGUAAAGCGCGCGUAGGUGGUUUGUUAAGUUGGAUGUGAAAUCCCCGGGCUCAACCUGGGAACUGCAUCCAAAACUGGCAAGCUAGAGUAUGGUAGAGGGUGGUGGAAUUUCCUGUGUAGCGGUGAAAUGCGUAGAUAUAGGAAGGAACACCAGUGGCGAAGGCGACCACCUGGACUGAUACUGACACUGAGGUGCGAAAGCGUAGGGAGCAAACAGGAUUAGAUACCCCCGUAGUCCCUGUCUCUUAUAA